rnacentral:rRNA from 1 species
GAUGAACGCUAGCUACAGGCUUAACACAUGCAAGUCGCGGGGCAGCAUGGGGGUUGCUUGCAACCCCUGAUGGCGACCGGCGCACGGGCGAGUAACGCGUAUCCAACCUGCCCUUCACCACGGGAUAACCCGGCGAAAGUCGGACUAAUACCGUAUGUUGUCCAUUGACGGCAUCCGAUUUGGACGAAAGGCUUAGCGGUGAGGGAUGGGGAUGCGUCCGAUUAGCUUGACGGCGGGGUAACGGCCCACCGUGGCGACGAUCGGUAGGGGUUCUGAGAGGAAGGUCCCCCACACUGGAACUGAGACACGGUCCAGACUCCUACGGGAGGCAGCAGUGAGGAAUAUUGGUCAAUGGGCGGAAGCCUGAACCAGCCAAGUAGCGUGCAGGAUGACGGCCCUAUGGGUUGUAAACUGCUUUUAUGCGGGGAUAAAGGGGCCCACGUGUGGGCUUUUGCAGGUACCGCAUGAAUAAGGACCGGCUAAUUCCGUGCCAGCAGCCGCGGUAAUACGGAAGGUCCCGGGCGUUAUCCGGAUUUAUUGGGUUUAA